rnacentral:rRNA from 1 species
AGAGUUUGAUCCUGGCUCAGAUUGAACGCUGGCGGCAGGCCUAACACAUGCAAGUCGAGCGGAUGAGAGGAGCUUGCUCCUUGAUUUAGCGGCGGACGGGUGAGUAAUGCCUAGGAAUCUGCCUGGUAGUGGGGGAUAACGUUCCGAAAGGAACGCUAAUACCGCAUACGUCCUACGGGAGAAAGCAGGGGACCUUCGGGCCUUGCGCUAUCAGAUGAGCCUAGGUCGGAUUAGCUAGUUGGUGAGGUAAUGGCUCACCAAGGCGACGAUCCGUAACUGGUCUGAGAGGAUGAUCAGUCACACUGGAACUGAGACACGGUCCAGACUCCUACGGGAGGCAGCAGUGGGGAAUAUUGGACAAUGGGCGAAAGCCUGAUCCAGCCAUGCCGCGUGUGUGAAGAAGGUCUUCGGAUUGUAAAGCACUUUAAGUUGGGAGGAAGGGCAUUAACCUAAUACGUUAGUGUUUUGACGUUACCGACAGAAUAAGCACCGGCUAACUUCGUGCCAGCAGCCGCGGUAAUAC